rnacentral:rRNA from 1 species
UUGAACGCUGGCGGCAUGCCUUACACAUGCAAGUCGAACGGCAGCACGGACUUCGGUCUGGUGGCGAGUGGCGAACGGGUGAGUAAUACAUCGGAACGUGCCUAGUAGUGGGGGAUAACUACUCGAAAGAGUGGCUAAUACCGCAUGAGAUCUACGGAUGAAAGCAGGGGAUCGCAAGACCUUGUGCUACUAGAGCGGCCGAUGGCAGAUUAGGUAGUUGGUGGGAUAAAAGCUUACCAAGCCAACGAUCUGUAGCUGGUCUGAGAGGACGAUCAGCCACACUGGGACUGAGACACGGCCCAGACUCCUACGGGAGGCAGCAGUGGGGAAUUUUGGACAAUGGGCGAAAGCCUGAUCCAGCAAUGCCGCGUGCAGGAUGAAGGCCUUCGGGUUGUAAACUGCUUUUGUACGGAACGAAAAGCUUCGGGUUAAUACCCUGGAGUCAUGACGGUACCGUAAGAAUAAGCACCGGCUAACUACGUGCCAGCAGCCGCGGUAAUACGUAGGGUGCAAGCGUUAAUCGGAAUUACUGGGCGUAAAGCGUGCGCAGGCGGUUUUGUAAGACAGAGGUGAAAUCCCCGGGCUCAACCUGGGAACUGCCUUUGUGACUGCAAGGCUAGAGUACGGCAGAGGGGGAUGGAAUUCCGCGUGUAGCAGUGAAAUGCGUAGAUAUGCGGAGGAACACCGAUGGCGAAGGCAAUCCCCUGGGCCUGUACUGACGCUCAUGCACGAAAGCGUGGGGAGCAAACAGGAUUAGAUACCCUGGUAGUCCACGCCCUAAACGAUGUCAACUGGUUGUUGGGUCUUCAUUGACUCAGUAACGAAGCUAACGCGUGAAGUUGACCGCCUGGGGAGUACGGCCGCAAGGUUGAAACUCAAAGGAAUUGACGGGGGCCCGCACAAGCAGUGGAGUAUGUGGUUUAAUUCGACGCAACGCGAAGAACCUUACCAAGUCUUGACAUCCUGCGACGCACAUAGAAAUAUGUGUUUCCUUCGGGACGCAGAGACAGGUGGUGCAUGGUUGUCGUCAGCUCGUGUCGUGAGAUGUUGGGUUAAGUCCCGCAACGAGCGCAACCCUUGCCAUUAGUUGCUACGAAAGGGCACUCUAAUGGGACUGCCGGUGACAAACCGGAGGAAGGUGGGGAUGACGUCAAGUCCUCAUGGCCCUUAUAGGUGGGGCUACACACGUCAUACAAUGGCUGGUACAAAGGGUUGCCAACCCGCGAGGGGGAGCUAAUCCCAUAAAGCCAGUCGUAGUCCGGAUCGCAGUCUGCAACUCGACUGCGUGAAGUCGGAAUCGCUAGUAAUCGUGGAUCAGCAUGUCACGGUGAAUACGUUCCCGGGUCUUGUACACACCGCCCGUCACACCAUGGGAGCGGGUCUCGCCAGAAGUAGGUAGCCUAACCGCAAGGAGGGCGCUUACCACGGCGGGGUUCGUGACUGGGGUG